AGUGAACGCUGGCGGUAGGCCUAACACAUGCAAGUCGAACGGCAGCACAGAGGAGCUUGCUCCUUGGGUGGCGAGUGGCGGACGGGUGAGGAAUACAUCGGAAUCUACUCUGUCGUGGGGGAUAACGUAGGGAAACUUACGCUAAUACCGCAUACGACCUACGGGUGAAAGCAGGGGAUCUUCGGACCUUGCGCGAUUGAAUGAGCCGAUGUCGGAUUAGCUAGUGGGCGGGGUAAAGGCCCACCAAGGCGACGAUCCGUAGCUGGUCUGAGAGGAUGAUCAGCCACACUGGAACUGAGACACGGUCCAGACUCCUACGGGAGGCAGCAGUGGGGAAUAUUGGACAAUGGGCGCAAGCCUGAUCCAGCCAUACCGCGUGGGUGAAGAAGGCCUUCGGGAUGUAAAGCCCUUUUGUUGGGAAAGAAAUCCAUCUGGUUAAUACCCGGGUGGGAUGACGGUACCCAAAGAAUAAGCACCGGCUGACUUCGUGCCAGCAGCCGCGGUAA
rnacentral:rRNA from 1 species